ACCAAAGAAGAAAUGGGUACGCAACUACUAAACAAGAUAACAAGAGGGGAAAUGUUUUGAAAAUUAAGUAUUUAUUAGUAUCUUAUUAGAAGUGGGCAGAUAAUAUUGAGCUGCCAAUCAAGAUACUUUGAAGACUCUAAUAAAUCACUGGAGAAUACUUCGAACAACUACUGCUCCGUUUCAUGUCUUGAAUCAUAAACAAGCAAUUUGAUGUCUGCUAUGAUCAAUGAUUAUGCUGGAUUGAAGAGAAGAGAGUAUAAUGGAGAAGAAUGUUCCAGAAAGAUAUUCCCCAUUCUUCUGUAUUGUUUCAUUUGUAUUUAUUUGUGUUUAACCAUAUUUGUGUUUAACCUUCUCAUCAGAAUAUAAUACUAUUAGCA